rnacentral:rRNA from 1 species
UAGGGAAUCUUCGGCAAUGGACGGAAGUCUGACCGAGCAACGCCGCGUGAGUGAAGAAGGUUUUCGGAUCGUAAAGCUCUGUUGUAAGAGAAGAACGAGUGUGAGAGUGGAAGGUUCACACUGCGACGGUAUCUUACCAGAAAGGGACGGCUAACUACGUGCCAGCAGCCGCGGUAAUACGUAGGUCCCGAGCGUUGUCCGGAUUUAUUGGGCGUAAAGCGAGCGCAGGCGGUUAGAUAAGUCUGAAGUUAAAGGCUGUGGCUUAACCAUAGUAGGCUUUGGAAACUGUUUAACUUGAGUGCAAGAGGGGAGAGUGGAAUUCCAUGUGUAGCGGUGAAAUGCGUAGAUAUAUGGAGGAACACCGGUGGCGAAAGCGGCUCUCUGGCUUGUAACUGACGCUGAGGCUCGAAAGCGUGGGGAGCAAACAGGAUUAGAUACCCUGGUAGUCCACGCUGUAAACGAUGAGUGCUAGGUGUUAGACCCUUUCCGGGGUUUAGUGCCGUAGCUAACGCAUUAAGCACUCCGCCUGGGGAGUACGACCGCAAGGUUG